AGCUCUUGCUCCUUCUCCUGCUUGCUGUGUGAGACUGAGUAACUGCUAGAUCCUUGGACUUCCAUUCACAGCUGUGACUGAACAAUUGUUGGGAAUUGGGCUGCCGACUGUAAGUCAUCAAUAAAUUCCUUUACUAUCUAGAGACUAUCCAUAAGUUCUGUGACUCUAGGGAACCCUGACUAAUACAUCAUCCAAAGUAAGGUAACUCAGUCCCAAAAUAAUAUGUGGGGUAUGAACUCACUUAUAAGUAUAUAUUAUCCAUAAAAUGCUGAUACCAUGCUACACUCCCCAGACUCAAAGAACUUAAACAAGAAAAAAAGCCUAAGAAUGUAUCUCACUUUGAAGGGGGAAUUAAAUACUCAUAAGAGUUAGGUGGAGGGAGGGAAAUUGGAGGGAGGGUGAUGGGGAGGGAAAUAUGAGGUAAGGGAAGGGAAGGCCAAGAGAGAUGACUAGAUGGCCCUGAAAAUGAAUAGAUAUUUGCAAGUGAGGUGUGAGAAGAUGGCUGGCAUGGACAGAACAAGAAAGAGACCUGGGACAAGGGAGGCACCUAAGAAUCAAAGAAGAUGAACUUAUGUGUGUCUCACUACAUUGGGGAUCUGCAACCUGAAGAGGCUGCCACUGAUAGCCAGGCAGGAACCAUAGUUGAGAAUAGAAUCUCCACCCCACCCACAAAAAAAAAAAAUUCAACACCAAAUGGGAUAGGAAGUCUGCUGAAAGACAACAGAGUCAAAUCACCUGGAUCCUUGGGGCUCUCAGAGCCCUAUCCCACUUAACCACCAAACAAAGAACAUACAAGAGCUGAACCUAUGCCUCCACACACAUCUGCAGCAGAUGUGCAGCUUGGGUUUUCAUGUGAGUCACAAAUAACUGGAAUAAGGGCUAUAUUAGAAGGUGUUGCUUAUAUGGGGGAUGUGUUCUAGCUGGGCUACUUUGCUGGCUUCAACAGAUGGAGCACCUAACUUUGCAGACUUGAAGUGCUUUGGAGUGUGUGUGUGUGGUGGGGGCAUAGGGAG
rnacentral:lncRNA from 1 species